UUCUCAAAGUAUCACCUUCAACUAUUCUUGUGUCGUAAGGAAGGCUAAAGGGGAGUUGUUCAGGCAUGACUUCCAAUAAGGUGCUUAGUGUUUGCAGUUGCGAGUUAUGGAAUGAUGUAGCUGCCAUAAGAACAGAAAUGACUACCAUGAAUAAUGUACCAAAUAAGUCAUCAUCUGUAAUAUCCAAUCUUGCAUUUUAGAAUCAUGCUGACAGUGUAUAGGAGUAUGGUUCAAGUAUUGGUAUGCAUUUCAAUGUUGAUUGUCAGUUCCCAAA